rnacentral:rRNA from 1 species
UACGGAGGGGGCUAGCGUUGUUCGGAAUUACUGGGCGUAAAGCGCCCUUAGGCGGCUUUGUAAGUUAGAGGUGAAAGCCCGGGGCUCAACUCCGGAAUUGCCUUUAAGACUGCAUCGCUAGAAUUGUGGAGAGGUAAGUGGAAUUCCGAGUGUAGAGAUGAAAUUCGUAGAUAUUCGGAAGAACACCAGUGGCGAAGGCGACUUACUGGACACAUAUUGACGCUGAGGUGCGAAAGCGUGGGGAGCAAACAGG